GGAGAACUUAAUACGUUUAAAACUGUGACAAAAUAUCCGCGAAAUAUGAAGUUUAAAUGAAAAAUCAAGAGCUCGACUUACGUUAAGUUAACUCCAAUAUGGCCCCGCAGCGAAAGGAAGUCCCAUGGUGCUUUGCGUGAACAUCAUUCCCUGAGCAUGCGCAGUUCGCUACAAAGUAGGGUGUAUUUUUCUUGAACGUUUGAGGUGUGUUUAGACUUAAAAAAACAUUGACAGUCUAUGUUAAAACCCCAUCUACCAUUCAACAAGAACUCUUUGAACGAAGUUAUUUGGCUUUUGAUUUAUCAAAGGGAAAUUGUGUUCAUUUUUAGAGAAUUCCCAGGUAAAUAUGCGGUUAAAAGAAACUGUAAAUUCAGUAAUCUCUAAUCUUCAAAGUCACAAAACCCAAUAUUUAUAAAUCUGUGUACACCUCAGUCUCUUAAUAAUGGACAAAAGUACAUAUACUUUAACAUAAAAACAGAAGAAGAAACAAUACACACUUAUACAAAGUUUUUUGGGGUGAAAAAAAAUCUCAACCUGAGGCAUAUUUUUUACAGCAUUUGAUUUUUUUUAAGGUAAAGCAGUUGAAAAGUCGAAACACCAGGUCAAUGACUUGCUUGCUCACAGAUACACGCGUGCGUGACGUCAUCAACGUAGUGAGCGGCAGCGUUCCCCUGCGGGCUCCCGCACUCCGCUGCUGUAUCAGGCAGGAUGGGAUGCUCCACCAGCUCUCAAACUACAGCGGUUGACACUACUCUACCCAAACCGGAGGAAAGUAACGGGGCCAGCACCACUGGAGCAGCCAGUGAGAAUGGAAAAGUAGCUGAAGACGCCGAAACUCUUUCAGACCAGGCGCCUGUAGAAGGCGGUGAUGUGAAGCCGGACAGUGAGCCUGCUGCAAUAGCCACAACUGCAGGCAGCACUUCUGCUAGCCCACCAGCAGGAGAGGAUUCUCAGCCCUCAGCAGAUGUUCCACCGGCAGAAGCACCACCAGAAGCCCCACCAGCAAGCUCCUCAGAGUCUCCAGCUCCCGAACAAGGUGCGUUCAGUUAACCCUAUAUAACCAUUCGUAUCUAAUUUGAUACACACAUUUCUGAGACCCCGGCCUCAUUAGUAUUCAAAACGUUUCAUUUAAACUUGUUGUAUAUAAUGUGGUCCAUGUUUUUCUGCCCUGUAGUUCAUUAUUAUUCCACUAGGGGCAGUAGAAGGGCUUUUCCUGCUCAUUAUAAAAAUG
ensembl:lncRNA